GAAUAAAUGACACCAAUUUCUGUAAUGGAAAGAAAAAAAAAGAAAAAAGUGUAUAUUGGAAACUGCUGCUGAGUGACUCAUGCUGCCAGACAAACGGAACCUCACUCAUCACUCCAUCUUCAUCCUCCUCUGAAUGUUUUUCCAAAUUUCCACUGACAUAGAUUUGCAAGUUAUUAUUAUUGUCGUUACGAGUGGGAAGAGAGGUGAGGAUGCGCCAUGUGAAAGGAGGAAUAAGCCGGGCACAAUUCCGACUUAAAUAAAUGCUGCGUCAUAAAAGUAAAAAGGGUUACUUCUCCUUCCACCCUGAGAUGCCUUGAGUUUGACUGGGCGUGGAGUGAAAAUAGCCACGAAGGGUUGUGAUACUCUGUUCUUCUCUGCUUUUUGUGGUUGUGAUCAAUCCCAUGCCCUUUUUCAAUGCUCCCAGUUGUCCCCCUUAUCUUCCCAUUAUAACUUUUCCCUUUUUCUAGUGCCAUUUGCUGUCUCCAGCUCAGGCUUGCACAUCACACCAUCUGCAGAGCUGGAGGAGCUCCCGAGACACUGGGAAGGAGCAGUGGAAAGAGCAGAGGGUGGCCUGUGACAGCAGUUUGGGGUGGCCAGAAGCCAUCUGAGGAUGCAGGAAAACAGCACUGGGGCCACUCUGCCUGAGCAGUUCCUUGGGGCACACACAGAUACAAUGAGAUGUUGCUGGUGGCAGCAGCUGCAAGUCCCUGACCUGGUGGAGCUCAUCCUGUGCGCCUUCCCUCAUCUCCCAUCUUUCCCUGGGCACGAUGUCCCAGAGCCA